rnacentral:rRNA from 1 species
UACGUAGGGGGCGAGCGUUGUCCGGAUUUAUUGGGCGUAAAGAGCUCGUAGGCGGUUCGAUAAGUCGGAUGUGAAAUCUCCACGCUCAACGUGGAGGGGCCAUUCGAUACUGUCGUGACUCGAGUCCGGUAGGGGAGUGUGGAAUUCCCGGUGUAGCGGUGAAAUGCGCAGAGAUCGGGAGGAACACCCGUAGCGAAGGCGGCACUCUGGGCCGGUACUGGACGCUGAGGAGCGAAAGCGUGGGGAGCAAACAGGG